UGGACCAUAGGCAACUCAGCAGUGACCAUCACAGACCUGGUGCCCUUUGCCAAGUUUCGGGAAUCCUGAAGUACUCGGAGUUCUGCGUGGAAGGAGAGUGAAGGGCCCUGAAAAGUGGCUGGGAUUGAAUUAUCUGAGGUCCUGGUGAGGAAACUGAUGCCCAGAGAGGGGAAGUGGGUUGCUCAAGAGAACGGGCUGAUGAGUGUCAGAGCUCUGUGAUCCUGAUGACUCAGCCUAUGUAAGCUUCAACGCCUUCAUCUGAAAAAUGGGAUGAUAGUAUUUACCUUGUUGGCUGUUGUGUGGAUUAAAUGAGGCCAUGCCCAUGGAUGAACAAUGUUGAAUGCCCAAUAAUCAACCAAUAAUUGGAAGCUUUAUUCACAAUAACAACGGUGGUAGCAACAAAAGCAGCCAAAGCACCUGGAUGAGCACAGAAGCAUCUGGAUGAUCACAAAAGCAAGGGUGUCCCUCGUUUUCAUCUUGCACAAGGCUUUGCAGUUUGUGCAGCUGCCUCUGCAGGGAGCGCUGGGGUCAGAAUCUUGCUCGGCACCGCAGCAACCUCGGGUAACUCUUUACCGGUUGGAGUCGCAGUUUCCCAUCUGGACAACGGGGGCAAUACUUCACAGUUGUUGAGGAUUAAGGCCCAUUCUGUCCAUGCCAUUUGAUUCCACAAGCUGGAAGAAUUGCUGCUCUCUCCAUUGUUUCCCUAGAUCCCUUUUCUGUGGGUCAGGAAUUUGGGAACAGCUCAGCUGGAGGCUCCGGCGCAGGGUCUCUCCUGAAGUUGCCGUCCAAGUGUCAGCUGGAGCUGUACCUGAAGGCUUGACUGGGACUGGAGGAUCCUCAUCCAAAGUGGCUCACUCUUAUGACGUUCACGGGACUACAUGGUCUGGGCCCUCCGCCAGUGAUGUCUUCACUCCAAAGCAGCCUGACUCUUCAACUCAAGUGACCUUAUGUGGCCUAGGUUAAGAGCAUAAACUCGGGAUCCAGUCUGCUUAGAUUUUAAUCCCAGCUCUCUACUUCCCAGCUGGGUGACCCUGGAACUCAGAGGACAUCCUGCCUCACCCAGUCUUUUUCAAAGGAGUCCCAGCAAAGGAGAGGUGCCUGACUAGGGAAUCCUACAUACCUACCAACUUCCAAAGGGCCAAAACUGAUCAAGAUGAGAUCAUACUGGAUUAGGAUGGGCUCUAAAUCCAACGACUGGUGUCCUUAGAAGAAGGAAAGAGGAUACACAGAGGGAAGAAGACCAUGUGAAGACAGAUACAGAGAUUGGAGUGACGGUACCAUAAGCCAAGGAACAACCGGAAUCACCAGGAGCUGAAAGAGCGAGGAAGGAUUGGAUUCCCUGUAGAAACUUCAGAGAGAGCACAGCCCUGCUGACAGCUUGACUUGGGACUUCUGGCCUCUAGAACUGUGGGAGAAUAAAUUCCUGUUGUUUUAAGCCACCCCAGUUUGCAGUACUUUGUUGCAGCAGCCUGAGGAAACUAAUCCACCAAUCAUCUCAGUUUACAGAGGAAGAAACCAAGUCCUGAAGAGAAACCAAGGUCAUCACUGUUCACCCACAGAAAGGUAGCAGCUAAACAGGGGCUAGAACCCAGCCCUCAGCCCCCAUCCAGGGCUCUCCCCUUAGGGAAUGCCCCAAGUCUUUGGCAUAUGAUCUCACACCUAGGUUCGGGCCAGAGGAAGGCCUAUUUUGACAGAGCCACAUAUCCCUGUGUGUGUAUGUCCUCCCCAGAGAGCACUCAGUGAGUGGAACCCACUUUUCCCGAUAAUGACUGACUCCUCAGUUCUGGGUGAGAGCUCUGACUGGUACAUCAUCUUGAGAGUUUGCUUGUAGCUGUCAUGAGAGAGGAAAUGCCAGCAAGCUCCCUCCCCCUGCUGAGAAGUUAAUCCCCAGAGACCUUGCUGACUGACACAU